GGAUUGUAGAAAGUCUUGGAUGUCAGGCAGAAGAGUUUAAUUUCCCUGAGAUGGAAAAACUGGGAGUAAAAAUCAAACCGCCAGCUGAGCAAAAUCCACUCUGAGUUGCAGAAAGGGAAUGGGUUCUGGUGGAUAUUCCCUCUCUGCCUCUUAAUUCUAAGAUUCUUUCCAGCAAGGGCAAGCUUUCAGAGGAAUCUGGGAAACUUGUGUCUUUCAUCUCACCCAACCCUCUAAUACAAAUCUUUUCAAUCUCUGAUAUAAAUUUGCCUCUUCCUUUUGAAAUCAGCCAGAAAGUUCCCAGGGAACCUGAAAGCCACUUUACAAUUUAAAGCAAUCCUUACUUCUAACGCUAGAAGCCCAUCUGGGUCUGUCUGUAACCCUAAAUUCUGAACAUAUAUUGGUCUGGAAAUUCCCCGUAACUCAGGAAGCAUUUUACCUACCCCGAGUAUGAAUGUUUUGCUCCCAAUUCUCCUGGUGAAAAGAGGUGUGAACUGUGAUCCUAUAGAAAACCAUUGUGAAGAUAGGAGGGCACAGGCGGUAUGGUAUGUACCUAAGAAGCUUGGUGUCAAAAUGAUUAAAGCAUGAAGAGAAAAACAGAACCAAAGGAGAGAGAAGGAAAUCAUUUACCUUGUAUUUGGAGCAAGGACACUUGCAAUUCCAUUUCAGCUGACUUUCUCCUCUUUCCCAGUCAGUUUCAUGGGCUUCAUGACACAUUUUGCUCAAAAUGAGCCGUCUCAUCGGACUCUUGCAUGUGAAAUUUAAGGCUGACCUAGCUGCUAUUGUUUUUCAACCAUCAACACAAAGCUGUACUGCUUGAUUUCUCUCAUCUGCCAGAUUUUAUUAAUUUUACUUUAUCC
ensembl:lncRNA